AAACUGCCUGCGGUCCAUUUUUUUUUCCCUUCCUUAUCUUUGUAAGAUAUCCUUCAAAAUACGAAUCCCUCAAACUACGGAGGCCAGUCCUGACGAAUUCGAGCUAUCCGUGUUAUAUUGUAUAUAUAUAUAUAUAAUUAUAUCCAAGAAGCAAAAGUAGCAAGAUGGCAUGAAGAAUCACAGACCAGAAAGAAGGCUCGAAAGAUAAUCAAUCAUCUCUACAUGGUAUAUCUUAAUUAAAUGGUUCUUGUGCUCAAUUCAAACAGUAAGAGAAAAAGACAAAUCUGAAUUUUGAGACUGUGGUACAUAUGUCACUGACAAUCAUCGAGAAAAUUACUUGUCCUCAGCACUUCCUCUCGAGCUUCACGCCUUCUUUUUUUUCUUCCACUACCUCCACUCAGCCUUUACCUUUCCUUCCUACGUCUAUUUCUUCUUUCCUACCUCAUUUCGUUUCUAUUGAAGAGUUAAAAGCAGUAUCAACAACAAGAAAGUCUUAUUUCUCACAUUGCAGACAGCUCGUGGUCCUAGUGAGGUCUAGAUUUUUACAUAUGAUAAGAUUAGUAAUUUGAAGAGAUAUGAAUAUAUAUUUCACUCAUAGAUAUGUUAUAUAUCACAUACAAGUUUUACACCUCUUUCAACAAUGUUUGUUGGCAUUAAAGUCAGGGAGUCAGGGAUUCGCAGCAAAUGUCCAUCUCCGAUGGGAAAAUGAGCCUUCAAAAGUAAAUGGAAACUGAUUGAGUCUUGAUUGACAGCGAAUGACAAACUAUAAACUUCACAAACGUUUUUCUUUCAACAACAUGUCUCAUAUCAAUACUUCUGCUCCUGUUCAGUGUUCUGGCAAAUUUUGCUGCAUGCCAAUCUCAACUGUGUAAUAAACAAAAUACUGGUAUAUUAUUCUGGAAAUGCCUAUGAAAAAGAAGGAUUAAAAAUAUUGAAAGACUACUCAUUAAUCAAAUAAAAGAGCACAAAGUCUGGAAAAAAAAGCUUUCAAAGUUUUAUUCGACCCUACUUUCAAUCCUCUACAAUGUCACGCCCCCAGCAUGUUAAAAAGACACAAUCACUUUCCGACGACCAAUGAGAAAACAAACCUCACAAAUAAUAUCUGGUUAUAAGUUGAACUUUGCAAAAAGCAGCAUCAGCUCCCAGUAUGAGUAUGAUAUGUAACAACUAGCCUAAUAAUAUUCCAGUCAAAUCGCCGCUGACAGGAAGCAACGUUGUGUGUGAAUUGUGUGACCAACAACACUGUGUACAAGACGAUGAUUGACAGAGCUGUGUAGAAAGUUUCAUGACUAAAAACAACAGCAUUGUCUGUUACAGUCCGGUAAUUAACGUCGUUGUGGCGAAGGUUCUAUGACAAACAACCAUACUGUGUACAGUAAAACAGUUCGAUUCUGUGAUCGACAGAACUGAGUAGCAAAGUUUCUACAAUUCCUGAUCGAUAGUUAAGUGUGGAUAGUUCUGUGGCCAACAACACCACUGUAGAGAUUUAUGAUAGACAGCACUGAAUUCAGUUUAAGUCAGAGUUUUACUGCACUUACAACACAAAUAGAUCACAUAAAUUGUGACAAAAAUUAGAGGUGAUACUGCAGAGUAACAGGACACAAAGAAAAAGAAAGAAGAGAGACGAGGACGAAAACACGCUUGAUUUGAUAGGAACGAAAGAGAAAAUCACACCAGAACAUCCGCCAACCACCCCCAGCACUGAGUAGAAAGUUCUGUGACAACGCAAUGUAGAAAUUUCUAUGACUAAAAAUAACAACAAUGCUGUCUGAAAGAGUUAUGUGACCAACAUCGUUGUAAAGAUAAGUUCUCUGAGCAAUAACACUGUAUAGAUAGUUCUAUAAAACACUAGUGAACAAAAACUGAAUAAUCGGACCCACCCUGACCAAAAGACUCCACACAUAUGGUCGCUUUUAAGCACAAAGGGGCUAUCCUGAAAAAUGCUGUUUUGAGAAAAUCGAAGAUAAAGUUUUUGCCCCUUGCUUAGUUUUUUAAAAAUUAAAAGACAAGGGGAGUUUUCUCAAUAACCAAACAAAUAUAUACACCCAUGAAAUCAAACUUCUCCUACACGUAGGGCAAUGCCCACUUUAGGUUUUGGUCAAGAUUUUUGGGAACUCUCUAAAUCUGGGUUAGCUGCUUGUCAAUAAAAGUGAUCAUUUAGGCCUACACCAGGUCCAAAGCUGAGAAUAAUGCCAUUAAGAAAUGUAUGGGCCUGCUAGACAUUAUAAACAAAGGUAUGAGUCUACUACUAUGAUAUAUAAUAUAUGAUAAACAAAAGUGUGUGUCUACAAUUUAAAAAAAAGUAUGAGUCUACUAUCAUAUAUGACAAACAAAAA